AUGUCAAAUGCUGCAAGAACCCACAUGACGCAAUCAUCUGGAAGGCGCUGCAACACUUUUGAUGCUCUCAGAUGGCCUGGAGAAAAUAUUUUUUCUAGCGUUUUUCGCAUCAGUCAAAGCCAGAUUCUAGUUGAGCCACAAAGUUUAUAUAUGGGGAUUAUGCAGCUUAACAAUAAAGAACUAAAGAGUGCUGCUGUUCUGCAAUAUGAAGUUGCUAGACACCUCGGGUGUAAGCAAUGGGUGAAUGAAUUUAGGCAAAACUGUCGGUGUGACCUGUCUGAUGAUUGGAUUGACAAAAAUCUACCUUCAUUAGACGGCAGAAAGCUGCAAACAUCAAAAAAGUCGGCAUCAGUGUAUGUUGCCGAAUCAUCGCGUGACAUACGUCUGAGGACCGAUCCGAACAUAAAUAUUGUUCGAGAAAAUGCAGCAGAGGACAGGAAAGAAGAAACACCAACAAAAUCCCCAGAUCCAGUCUCAUAUGCCCCAAAUACUAGUAAACAGGGAACUCACACCCUGUACAAGAAACCGAGAUCUGAGCCCUCAACCAGCUCAUUUAGGACCGUUAGUUAUAGAAAAUUUAUUCCUGAAAAGACGCCAAAACAUCUAUUUAGCACAGAAAAAAAAGUUACAACAGGCAAAACUCUACGAAAAGUUGAAUCUGGCAAAAGGUCAUUGUCAGUUACCAUUGACGUAGAUGAACCCUCACUGAAAUUAAAGUCCUCCCAACAAUCAGAAUAUUGUUUGCUUUCCAAUUGUUUUUCACUGGAUACUAAAGUGAGACGUCACUGUACCAAAAGGCACAUGCCUCCAAUGUUUCAAACUGUGUCGUCAGACUCGAGCAAUGUUUUUCAUUGUGUCCAAGCACUAAAAUGGCUGAUUAAAGCUGCAUUGGGAGAACAAGCUACUCUUCUUGAUGCAAUGGAAACAGUAAACCAGGCCAGUAAAAUACCUCCGACCAUUGCCCUCAAUCCGUUGCAUUCAGAUUAUUUUCGCCAGGCAUGUCAAUUCUUAGAGGUAGACGAGCCAAAACAGUUUACUCUGCACCCAAUAAACUCUCCAGCUGUAUUGCUGUUUUGGCGAUGCAUUAUGGUGCUAUUGGACAAAUGUACAGAAUUCCAACAAAAGGAGUUUGUCCGUUUUAAAGCAGACAAGGAAACUUCAACCAAAUCAAAUCCUCUCAUUCACUCAACUUCUCCUCAUAUAAAUCCAUCACUAGUUUUACAUGGUUCUGACGUAGAAUUGCCAUCAAAACUGGCAGAAUUUAAUAUGCCAGACGGUUCUAGUGGAAUGGAAGUAGCUGAACACAGCGAGUUACCAGUUGUAUUUGAUAGCCACUUCCAUUUGGACCGUACCUGUAAGAAGAUAUGGGGUGUUGAAGGGGGGCACACUGUAGAGGACCUUUUGAAACAUAGUGAAUCGGACAGUGUACCAUACAAACCAGCUAUUCCUGUUAAAGUAAUUGGAGGCAUCAUUGUCUACAGUGAGCCUAAUACCUAUCCAGAUGUAUCCUUUACUUUAAAUGGUCCUUGGAAAGUUGCUGUUGGAGUACAUCCAAAACAGCAUAGCACAUUCUCUGAAGAAAAAAUGAUGCUUCUUGAGCAAUUACUGCACCAUCCAAAAGUUGUUGCACUAGGAGAAUGUGGCUUAGAUAGGAGUGUCCCACCAUCUGAGUGGACGCAGCAGGAGGAUGUCUUUAUAAAACUUCUGAAACUUGCCAAGCCUUGCAUUCCAAUUGUGUUACAUCUCAGGGGGCCAGCUGGGGAUAAAUAUGGAUCUGAUGUAAUUGCAAGAUGUAUGAUGCUGAUGGAAGUGCACUGUAGAAAUGCGCAGCGGAUACAUCUUCAUUGCUUCCAAGGAAAGACAGAUGUUGUAAAGGCAUGGCUAAAGAAGUUUCCAAAUACUUGUUUUGGACUAACUGCAUCAGUUCGCACAUUUGAUAGUCAUCAGAUUGCAGGUUUAAAGGCCAUUCCGAGAACAAAUAUUGUGUUGGAAACAGAUGCUCCUUACUUUCCCUUUGGUACAGCAAAAGUUAGUACACCUGCAUAUAUAGGAGAGACUGCUAAACUUGUUGCACAACAUUUGAAUGUGAAACCCGAAGAACUGAUGGAGAUCACUCUACAGAAUGCCAAAUUUUUGUAUGGUAUAUGAAGUUUUCAAGCCAGAAAAAUGUCAAAAACUAUGAAUUAUUUAAAUGGGAGGUUUCAUGUUGAAGAAUUCAUCUUGGAGUCAGAUUUCAUUUUGGAGUCAGAUUUCAUCUUGGAGUCUGAAUUCAUCUUGGAAUUAGAUUUCAUUUUGGAGUCUGAAUUCACAUUGGAGUCUUUUACUAGAGUCUUCGUACUUUACAUUUUUUUUUACAUUGGAGCUGAAUUAUUUAUAUGGGAGUUUUUAUGUAGAAGAAUUCAUCUUGGAGUCAGAUUUCAUCUUGGAGUCAGAUUUCACAUUGGAGUCUUUUACUAGAGUCUAUAUACUUCAGAAGUUUUUUACAAUGGAGCUGUUACAAUAGUGCAUUUAAUCAUUUAUCUUAUCAGCAAGGUGGAGAGAUUUAUAAAAAAAAUAUUGACAGGUCAGACUGGAUUGCAGCCAUUUAUUUAUUUUUAUGAAAAUAAACAAAAAAAUUGACAAUUGUGUAAACAUUCCACAUUUGUCCAUUUCCUUUGGAAAAAAGAUUCCUAUUGAAAUAUUUCAUUAGUGGCAUUUUACAUUAAACUUUUCAUUCAGAUUAAGUCAUGAUUUCAUCUUGAGGUUCGAUUUUGCAUGUAAUUUUUUUCAUCAAAUUUCAUAUUGGAGCUACUUCAUAGAACAAUUCUUGUUGAACAAACCAAAGACUAAGUGCAGCCAUAUAAUGAAAACAAACUGUUGGCAGGUUCAUGUAUUGUUAGAAUUUUUCAACAAAUUUCUUAUGUCGUCUCUGACUGAGAAAUCCCAUUGAUUAUUCACGAGUGACCUUUUUACAUUGGAGAGUUCGUGUAGAAGAAUUCAUGUUGGAGUCAGAUUUCAUGUUGGAUUCAGAUUGUUCACAAGAGUUUUCAUCUUUCAUUAGAUUUCGAUUGGUUUGGAGUUGUUACAGUGGCGUUUUGAAACAAAAUCUGAAGUACAUGUACUUGGAAGAGCAAAACGAAUAAAAAAGUCAAACAUAGAUCAUUUUCUGCUUUUCAAUUGCAAUCUUCACUUGGAACAAUUAAAGAUUCAUUCGAACAUCCGUAAGUGACAUUUCAUGUAGAAGAAUUCAUCUUGGAGUCAGAUUUUACAUUGGAGGUCCUAUUACUUCAUAAGUUUUUAUACUGGAGUUAUUUAACUGUGGUGCAUUAAAACAUUUAUCUAAUCAAAAUUGUGGAAAGACUUACCGAAAAUCAAACUGCCAAAGUGGAGCAGAACCGUUUCUUUAAAAAAGAUAGGAAACAGGGUAUUUCUGUUAACAUUUUACAUUGGAAGAAAGAAUCACAUCAAGAUAUUUAUUAGUGAUAUUUCAUGUAGGAGAUGUUGUGUUAAAGAAUUCAAAUUGGAGUCAGAAUUCAUCUUCAUGAGUCAGAUUUUACAUUGAAAUCUUUAAAGGGAUAGUCUCUAAGAAGCUUGAGCCGUCCUUUACCUUGAUCUAUAAGCCAUCUUCACAAAGUUCUCUACUUAGCCCAGAUGAACUCAUCCCUUAUAGUAUGAUGCAUUGGAAGAAUUGCUUCAAAGACCCAAGGGUGAACUUGUGGUCAUUUA